rnacentral:rRNA from 1 species
UACGGAAGGCAGCAGUGGGGAAUAUUGCACAAUGGGCGCAAGCCUGAUGCAGCCAUGCCGCGUGUAUGAAGAAGGCCUUCGGGUUGUAAAGUACUUUCAGCGGGGAGGAAGGCGAUGCGGUUAAUAACCGCGUCGAUUGACGUUACCCGCAGAAGAAGCACCGGCUAACUCCGUGCCAGCAGCCGCGGUAAUACGGAGGGUGCAAGCGUUAAUCGGAAUUACUGGGCGUAAAGCGCACGCAGGCGGUCUGUUAAGUCAGAUGUGAAAUCCCCGGGCUUAACCUGGGAACUGCAUUUUGAACUGGCAGGCUUGAGUCUUGUAGAGGGGGUAGAAUUCCAGGUGUAGCGGUGAAAUGCGUAGAGAUCUGGAGGAAUACCGGUGGCGAAGGCGGCCCCUGGGACAAGACUGACGCUCAGGUGCGAAAGCGUGGGGAGCAAACGAGGGAUUAGAUACC